UACGAAGGGGGGCGAGCGUUGUUCGGAUUUACUGGGCGUAAAGGGCGCGCAGGCGGUCAUUUUUGUCGAGUGUGAAAGCCCCGGGCUUAACCUGGGAACUGCGUUUGAAACUGGGAGACUUGAGUGUGGCAGAGGGGGGUGGAAGUUCCACGUGUAGCAGUGAAAUGCGUAGAUAUGUGGAGGAACACCGAUGGCGAAGGCAGCCCCCCUGGGUUAACACUGACGCUCAUGCACGAAAGCGUGGGGAGCAAACAGG
rnacentral:rRNA from 1 species